UCUUGUUUAGUGUAAAAAUGAAACACUGUGGUUUUACAGGGCGUUAUGUCCCAGACUAUUUCUUGGGCCGGAGGAGUAACUUCCUGGAGUCUUGUUGUCAGGAUGAGGUUGCCAGGCAACCAGUGGAGACUCCAGGUAGUUACAGUGAUAAUGAGUGACCAUUAAAGGUGCUGAUAUGUGAAUUAUGUUACAGUUGAACAGAGCUAGGCUAGCUGUUCCCCCUGUUAUUAGUCUUUAUGCUAAGCUAAGCUAAAAGGCUGCUGGCUGUACCUUACAGAUAUUAGGUGAUGUCAAUCUUCUAAUCUCACUCUCUGAAAUAACUUAGAUGUAGCCGAGAAACAACAGACAUUUUUUACAAGUACAAUGUCAUUUCUAAAACAAAUCUUUCAGUUACAGAUCUUACAAACUUUAAAUAGUUAUUAUCAUCCCUUCCACCCAUCUGUGACUUCAUUGUACAAAAAGGGAAGUGACACAUUCAUUUAAACCCUAUGAAUAAUAAAGUUUGACUGUGGGCAAGAGAAGGUGUUUCAUAAAGCCCUCCCCAUGCUUCAUUUUGCAGGAAGGUUUUUUUAACAGUUAGCUGUGAACUAGAAUUUAGUUUUCUUUCAGACUCACUGAGGGUCACAACAGUAAAAUGUCUGAGGCUGAUGGAAUAGUGUACUCUGAUGUUAAGUUCACAAGAGCGAAGAGAAACACCCGUGGGACCGCUUCCUCAGAGGCUGAACCCACAUACUCUGAAGUCAGGAUCUUGAAGACUCAUCCAUCCACAGAGCUCCCUGGUUCCCAACAACACCCAGUGUCAAAUGGAGGGUCAAAGGUCACACCAGAGAGAGUGGUCAUAGUAGUUCUCAGUGCUCUCCUGGCAGCUGCUGUCAUCGCUCUCGGCUUUACCUGUGAGUUUGUUCUUUUUAAAGUGAAUUCAUCUGGAUUGAAAUUGACAAACGUAUCUAAUUACAGUUAUUGAUAACAGAAAAUGUUUAUUUCAUAUAAUUAUUGAGAUUUUAAAGUGCAAAUAAUAAAGUAUGUAGUGAGAUCUAGUUUUUCUUAAUUCAUCGACUAAAAAAACACAAGUUAACAGAACUUUGUCAUUUAAUUUUUUAAUAAAUCACAACUUCUUCACAACACAUCUUCAACUUUUACUUUAAAUGCUGAUAAUUUAGGCCAAAUAAUAUAAACUGGAGUUUUUACAGUGCAGAGAGAUUUUACAUUGGAACAAGUUAAAAUGAUGACUUUCAUUUUUGGAACCCAAACUUUAUCUUAAUUAGUUCAUAUUUCUGCAAUAAACACAUUUAUUAUCAAACACUGAUGAUUUACUAAUGCAGUGUUUGACCUCUGCUUUCUUUUUUUAAUCAGCUCUUGAUAACAUGCACACCAAGCAAAGUUUCCAGACUCUGAGAGACGAACUUGAAGCUGUGAAAAGAAAUCUCACAGGUAAUCCAGUCAGGUUUAGAAACUGUCUAAAAAGGUUCAGUCUACAAGUUAAAAGUCUACUCUAACCUACAUUUUGCAACACUGCAAGAUCCUUUUAAAAUGUGAC
rnacentral:lncRNA from 1 species